UAUGAUAACUAAUUAUGAUUAAAAAUGUUAAAAGUAGCGACUGAUAUCUUUUUGGCGAUAUUUCAACUCUGA
rfam:Brassica oleracea var. oleracea cultivar TO1000 chromosome C3, whole genome shotgun sequence